UGGUAAGAUCGUGCACGGUGCCGCGGGAUGAGGAGAGGGGUAUGCGUAAACGUUAGUUACUGUGCGUACACCGUUCGUAGGCGUUUCUUUAAGUCUGCUGUGAAAUCCCCGGGCUCAAGCGGGGAAUGGGAGUGGAUACUGGAGGGCUGGAGUGUGUUAGAGGAUGUUGGAAUGCCCGGUGUAGCGGUGAAAUGCGUAGAGAUCGGGAGGAACAUCAGUGGCGAAGGCGGCCAUCUGGAUCAACACUGACGCUGAGGCACGAAAGCGUGGGGAGCAAACAGGAUUAGAUACCCCGGUAGUC
rnacentral:rRNA from 1 species